rnacentral:rRNA from 1 species
UACGUAGGGGGCAAGCGUUGUCCGGAUUUAUUGGGCGUAAAGAGCGUGUAGGCGGUCUGGUAGGUCCGUUGUGAAAACUCGAGGCUCAACCUCGAGACGCCGAUGGAAACCAUCAGACUAGAGUCCGGAAGAGGAGAGUGGAAUUCCUGGUGUAGCGGUGAAAUGCGCAAAUAUCAGGAAGAACACCCGUGGCUAAGGCGGCUCUCUAGUACGGUACUGACGCUGAGACGCGAAAGCGUGGGGAGCGAACAGG